rnacentral:rRNA from 1 species
CACGUAGGGCGCAAGCGUUGUCCGGAAUUAUUGGGCGUAAAGAGCUCGUAGCGGUCUGUUGCGUCCGCUGUGAAAACUCGGGGCUUAACCCCGAGCCUGCAGUGGAUACGGGCAGACUAGAGGUAGGUAGGGGAGAAUGGAAUUCCCGGUGUAGCGGUGAAAUGCGCAGAUAUCGGAGGAACACCGGUGGCGAAGGCGGCAUCCUGGACCGACAUUGACGCUGACUGAGCGAAAGCCGUGGGGAGCGAACGAGG